CAAUAGCGUAUAUUUAAGUUGUUGCAGUUAAAAAGCUCGUAGUUGGAUUUCGGUUAAGAGCGACCGGUCCGCCGUUUGGUGUGCACUGGUUGGUUUUAACUUCCUGUAGAGGACGUGCUCUGGGUUUAACGACCGGGACUCGGAGUCUACGUGGUUACUUUGAAAAAAUUAGAGUGUUCAAAGCGGGCUUACGCUUGAAUAUUUCAGCAUGGAAUAACACUAUAGGACUCCUGUCCUAUUUCGUUGGUCUCGGGACGGGAGUAAUGAUUAAGAGGAACAGUUGGGGGCAUUCGUAUUUCAUUGUCAGAGGUGAAAUUCUUGGAUUUAUGAAAGACGAACUUCUGCGAAAGCAUUUGCCAAGGAUGUUUNCAUUAA
rnacentral:rRNA from 1 species